rnacentral:lncRNA from 1 species
CUAUGUUCUUUGCCUUGCUAUGUGUGCUAGUGAGGAACAUUCGGGGACGAAUGUUCUUAAGGGGGGGAGAAUGUAAUACCCGGCUAGACUCCGGUAUCGGAAUUCCUACCGUCCGGUGGAAUUUCGGAUGUCGGGAACUUCUAGAAGGGUAAAGACAUGUUUUAUAAAAUGUUUUCAUGAAUUUUAAUGUUUUAAAGUAUGAAACUAAAUGAGUUUUUGCAUGAAAAUAGCAUUGGAGGAAAACCCAGGUUCGGCCGCCGAAAGUCAAGUUCGGCCGCCGAACGUGCAUGCGUUUUG